AUCUGAUUAAGACCAGAGAGAGACAAGAAUCUAAUAACGGGAAGAGUUCCUCAGAGGAAACAGACCGAGACGCUAACCAACACCACUGCUCCCACUGUGGAAAGAGUUUUAGGUGGUUAGGGCCUGAAAAUGCAUGAGAGAAUACAUACAGGAGAAAAGCCCUACCACUGUUCCACUGUGGAAAGAAUUUUACUCAGUUAGGGGCCUGGUUGGGCAUGAGAGAAACACACUGGAGAGAAGCCUUAUCACUGUUCUCACUGUGGAAAGAGUUUUAGGUGGUUACGGGUCUGAAAACGCAUGAGAGAAUACACACGGAGAGAAGCCUUAUCAUGUUCUCACUGUGGAACAGUUUUAGGUGUUAGUGAGCCUGAAAACGCAUGAGAGAAACACACAGGAGAAAACCUUUCCAAUGUUCCAGUGUGAAAAGAGUUUUAGGUGGUCAGGGAGUCUGAAAAAGCAUGAGAGAAAACACCACAGGAGUAAAGCCUUUUCCAACAUACUAAUACACAGGAGGAGACAACAUACCACUGCUCUCAUUGUGAAAAGACAUUUUCCCAGUCAGAGGACCUGAAAUCAACAUGAGAGAAUAGAGAGGCUGUGUUCUGACUUAUGUUUCUGACUGAGAAUUUGUCCACGGCCAGGAUUCACAGGGCCAGGGUGUCCGCUAUGGACACCUGGAAGAAAUCAGCAGCGGACAUUUCUGAAGGUUUAUCCAACAGACCUGUACAUCCAUGAAUGGAUCUCUAUAAUGUGUAACUAUUUCUGAAGGUUUAUCCAACAGACCUGUACAUCCAUGAAUGGAUCUCUAUAAUGUGUAACUAUUUCUGAAGGUUUAUCCAACAGACCUGUACAUCCAUGAAUGGAUCUCUAUAAUGUGUAACUAUUUCUGCUGUAUUGUAAUGUAUUGUUUAAUAGAUGUACUAUGUUAGGUAUAUUUAUCUGUGGUUUUAUUUCAACAGAUUUUACUGAUGCUAUUAGAUUGCAGUGUGGGGGGAUUUUAUAUAUACAGAGACUUCAGAAAGUAUUCACACCCCUUGACUGGUCCCACAUGUUGUUGUGUUACAUCCUGAAUGUAUAAUGGUUCCCCCUUGACUUGUCCCACAUGUUGUUGUGUUACAGCCUGAAUUUAUAAUGGAUUCAAUACCCCAUAAUGUCAAAGUGGAAUUACGUUUUUG